CUUUUAAGGCUAAAAAUCUAUCAUUGACUUGGGCAUAUAAUUUCUUAUCGGAUGGCUCCAACAAUAAACGGGAGAGAUCAGGGCCAGCAGAUAAUUGCCACGUUCCAAGCAAUUAGAGAAGAAUCUAAUAUAAAAAAAAUAAAAAAAGUUAAAGGGAAAACAGAGCGUCAUGUGAAGUUAAAUAAAGAAAAACAACACAACCAAACACCAAGAAGAAGCUGCUAAUUGAGACCGCAGGCUAUAACGCGAUUCGACGUACGAGUCACGAACGAGAGACAUAGAAGAUUGAAGCUAAAGCAAUCUCCUGCUAUUCAUUUCAGAUGUCCCUGUAUAUUGGUAAUCUAUCAUCACGCAUUCGUAGAGAUGAACUUGAGCGUGUUUUCCAAAGGUUUGGACAAUGCGAUGUACGGCUAAAGGAUGGAUAUGGAUUCGUGGUGUAUGAGUUCCCUCCAAAUGCAGAGAAAGCUCUAAGAGCAUUAGAAAAAAAGCACAUUUGUGGUGAGGCAUUAAAUCUUUCGUGGUCAAAUAAACAGCCUAGACAGUUCAACAGAUUAGCAAGGGCUGGUGGUAGAUCCUAUGAACCACAGCACAGCAGGGAUUCUGUUAAAGGAAAGUUGGGAUCAAAUGUUCUGGAUUAUAGAACGAGUGUUAAGCAAUCAGAUGGUUUUAGCAAAAGGAGUGCUUCCACUAACAUGCGUGAUAAAGAGGUGAUGUACGAUAAGAAUCGUGCCAAAGAUAACUUUGGGGAUGAGCAUUCUGGCUAUAGGGAAGAGUUUUUGGGUGAAGGUGGUAGGUUUGAAUCUGAUCGAGUGGAAAAUGAUAGAUGGGGUGAGCAACUACAUUACCAACUGAAUGAAAAUGGUCUUAAAAAUGAUGUAGUAUUUGAGAGAUAUGAACCUUGCCCAGAUUACGAGAGAAAAUAUGAUAGUGGAGUCCAUCAAUUGGCCUAUCGUGGUGGCUCCCCUGCUCUACGAAGACCUCAAAAGGAUAUAGGUAGAGAUAACAGUAAUGAAGUCAAUUUGAAGUGUUCUCGCGAUGCAAAUUUCCAAGCAACUUGCUACCAAUGUGGAGGUUCAGGUCAUAAGAUGCGCAAUUGUCCCCAAGAGAGUUCUUCACUAAGAAAUUCCACUAGGUCUGAUCCUAGGCAUGAUGAUAGAAGAGGUAGUGGUGGAAGUGAACGAAGAAGAUUUGGAUCUAGGUCACAGGAAAGGUCAAGUAGGGAUUCAAUGCCAAAAAGAUUACUCAAGAAUGAUACAAAAUCAUCUAGCUUAGGAAAGGAUCAAAAAUCUAUAUGGAAUGGAAGCUCCCCUGUUGGCAAUGAAACUGAUAAGUCCUUGAAAACGCACGACGGAGGAAACAAGCGAAGUAGGAAGGAAAUUGAAUCUCCAAAAGGACAUGACACAAAGAAAACAAGGAGGUCAUUUUCGUCUUCCCUCCAUUCCAGAUCUCACUCAUCAUCUCAGUCCUUGGAGCAUGUGAAAAGGUCUUGUUCCCACUCUAGAUCUAGAGCACGAUUGUUGUCGUCCAAAUCAAGGUCUACCUCAAGAUCACAUUAUACUCAAUCCAAGAGCUGCAAGUCUAUGGCAAGAACAAGCUCCCAUACCUCCUUGUCUGUCUCACUUGGUCAACCCUUACCUUCUUCUUCAAACAAGGCACAGUUGAAUCUGAAAGGAUCUUCAGAUAAUGUUACUACUCCAGAAUCCAAGGAGAUCUUGACUGAAAAAGAACAACCUGUAGAAGGUGAUAAUGGCUUGGAGGAGGCAAAAGUUGAAAAAAGAAUUGUGGCAGUGAACAGUGAAAUUGGGGUGACUCCUCCCCAAGCAGAAAUUGAAAUGGAGAAAGGCCAGCCUCUAGAGAAGGAUACCGAAGACCACCAAAUGGCAUCCUGCUCAUUGUAUGAAGUAUCGAAUAUAAGCACAGUGGCAGUAGAGAAAGGAACAGUUGACAAUGGGGGGUCUCCAAAAAGUCUUGUAGAGAUGAACUGUCAAGAUUCAGAUAAAUUGACGACAGAGCUUGCACCUGUUCAAAUGAAGAAUCCAGAUUCAGAUCCUUCCAUCAGUUUGCGCUCUGGCCAUUCAUUAAGUAUUUCCUCAGAGGAGCUGCACUUGGUUAUAAAACAUUAUUAUGGGCAUGAUCUUCAGAAUGAAAAUCAAAGGCAUUUACCUGCUGAUGCAUACUUUGGUUCUGCUCGCUUGUGGCCUUGGGAGAUUAUCUACUACAGGAGGUUGAAGAAGGGUCCUAUCUCUGUUGAAAACUAUGCGAGGCGACUUGAUCAGAAUAGGGAAUUUGGUGUAGUUGACAAAUAUAUCAGAAGUAGUAGCGGAUGGGAAGAAUUGACCCAAGAGAACUGAGAAACCCGUGAAAGAUUUUGUUUUUGGCAUGUUAUGCUUGUCCUCUUAGAACCUCUGCAAGUUUGGAGUUUCCAUACUUCAAGUUGUACUGUUUUUUGGAGUUCACAAGCAAUUUAUAAUGGAUAAUUAUCAGGAGAAUCUGAACAGGUCAUUCCGAUAUUCAACUGCAAGUCCUCCGGCCAACCAUUGCAAUUCAUAAGGAGUUGAGGAUUUCAUGUCUUAAGCAUUUGUUUUUGCUGUUCAGAUCAUGGUAUUAUAUAAGGUAUUAUCUUUUGCCCAGUGGCUUUACUUGAAAAAGAAAUUUUCACGCCAGCUUUGUGGCUCAAGAACUAAGUAGAAACACUAGCAAUCUAGCUUGAUUAUAUGAGGCCAGUUUAUGCCUUUAAGCAGUUACAUUAUUACUUGUGCAAUGGAAAUUGUUAGAUAGACUUUUCUUCCA